AGUGAACGCUGGCGGUAGGCCUAACACAUGCAAGUCGAACGGCAGCACAGUAAGAGCUUGCUCUUACGGGUGGCGAGUGGCGGACGGGUGAGGAAUACAUCGGAAUCUACUUUUUCGUGGGGGAUAACGUAGGGAAACUUACGCUAAUACCGCAUACGCCCUACGGGUGAAAGCAGGGGAUCUUCGGACCUUGCGCGAUUGAAUGAGCCGAUGUCGGAUUAGCUAGUUGGCGGGGUAAAGGCCCACCAAGGCGACGAUCCGUAGCUGGUCUGAGAGGAUGAUCAGCCACACUGGAACUGAGACACGGUCCAGACUCCUACGGGAGGCAGCAGUGGGGAAUAUUGGACAAUGGGCGCAAGCCUGAUCCAGCCAUACCGCGUGGGUGAAGAAGGCCUUCGGGCUGUAAAGCCCUUUUGUUGGGAAAGAAAAGCAGCAGGUUAAUACCCCGCUGUUCUGACGGUACCCAAAGAAUAAGCACCGGCUAACUUCGUG
rnacentral:rRNA from 1 species